GGGCCCGUAGCUCAGCUUGGACCAGAGCGCUGGCCUCCGGAGCCAGAAGCCCCGGGUUCAAGUCCCGGCGGGCCCG
rnacentral:tRNA from 1 species